rnacentral:rRNA from 1 species
UACGGGGGGAGCAAGCGUUGUUCGGAUUUACUGGGCGUAAAGGGCUCGUAGGCGGCCAACUAAGUCACACGUGAAAUCCCCAGGCUUAACCUGGGAACUGCGUGUGAUACUGGAUGGCUUGAAUUCGGGAGAGGGAUGCAGAAUUCCAGGUGUAGCGGUGAAAUGCGUAGAUAUCUGGAGGAAUACCGGUGGCGAAGGCGGCAUCCUGGACCGACAUUGACGCUGAGGAGCGAAAGCUAGGGGAGCAAACGGG